rnacentral:rRNA from 1 species
CUUAAAUUGAAGAGUUUGAUCAUGGCUCAGAUUGAACGCUGGCGGCAGGCCUAACACAUGCAAGUCGAGCGGAAACGAGUUAUCAGAACCUUCUGGGGACGAUAACGGCGUCGAGCGGCGGACGGGUGAGUAAUGCCUAGGAAAUUGCCCUGAUGUGGGGGAUAACCAUUGGAAACGAUGGCUAAUAC